rnacentral:lncRNA from 1 species
AUGUUGUCCCUGCAAGCCCUUACGUCCUCUCUUUCCAUCAUUGUCUCUGGGGCUAUUGUCACCUCCCUCCCUCCCUGUUUUCCAGGCCAUACCCCCCUGCACUGUGCUGUCCUGGCCCACAACGCCCUGCUGCGGGAGCAGGGGCACCCAGGGGUGACGAAGGAGCAGCAGGAAGGUCUCCAGCACCAGAGCGAGGAGCUGGAGAGCUGCAUCCAGCUCCUGGUGCAGGCGGGAGCCUCCAUCUACAGCCGGGACGUGAAAAGCAACAAGACAGUUCUGCAUUACACAGUCCAGGAUGCCAACAUCUCCCUGCUUAGGUACUUCCUGGAGCUGAACGCUUUCAAAUCCAGGGAUUUUGUCAACAGCAAGGUGAGUCAGGAGCUGCCUGGACGGGGUCUGUGUGCCAGUGUCUGGGCAGAGGAGGUGCUGAGGGCACCAAGCUGCCUGCAGUGGGAGGCUGCAAGCACGUGGAGCCAUUGGGGGAUCUUUGGGGUCCUGCAGAAACCAGACACUCUCUUCCUGUACUCAUUUUUCUAGAGGGAAAAGAACAACAGCUCGUGCUUCUGAGCUUUUUUUUUUUUUUAGUGCCCUGAAACUGCAUUUUCCAGUCAAUAGGCACCUCACCUGGAAAUGUGCUUGAAUUGCCGUGAAACGCAGGCACCUCUGCCAGCAGCAAGAGCUGGCAGAAGGAGAGCAGUGGGAAGUGGUUACUCGAGAAGGAACGCGAACUUCAUUAUGCUAGGCUGAGAAAACAGAUCUGCAGUGAUGCAAUGGCCUGCUGCUGGCAGCAAAACAACACCGAGGGACGGCUGGUGAGGGCUGUGCAUCGGGGACCUCUCCUCUCGGAGGGGCCAUAAGCAGCGAGCGGGCAGUGCCUUUGCUUUGCAUUUCAAGAAUUUCGCAGGCUCAGCCUUGCAGUCCCCGGAGCAUCCACAGGCCUGUGUCCAACAGAGAGGAAUCAAACAUUUGCUGCUGACACAGUUUUUACUGGGAAGCAAAAACUGGGCAGCUUCACAUUUUUUUUUCCCCCUACAGAUUUCUGUUGGGCUGGAGGAGAGGAAACAUGUUUUGCUUUGUGUGGGGGUAAUUGCUCUGGGGUUUUGCUUUUCUGCGAGGUGAAAGGCCUUGCGCUGUCUUUCACUACAUUCCUGCUGUAUCUCUGAAGACCCUCUAGGCAGGUGCUAUCUUGUCCGUGGGAGGCUGCUCUUGUCUCUUGAUCGCAGUCCUGUGAGAGCUCCCUGCUGCGAUAGCAUCGCUUGGAGUCUCCAGUCUUGUUUCUGAGAUGCCUGGGACAGUGAGAAAUGUAACAGCGAGGCUGGCCGGUCCCCAUCCUGGCGUUUUAGCUCUUCCAAGUAUGACAAGAAGAAAUCAGGGACGCUGUGUUUUGGCUUCCCUGGCUCACCCUCUGCUUGCUGUGGUUGUUUCGUUCCAAAUUCAAUUCCUUGGGGAUUUUACAGUGAGAAAAGCACUGAGGGCUUUGAGGUAUUUUUCACCUGAAGGGUUUCUAGAGCCCAGAUAUUAAAGCUCUGAGCUGUUG